AUUAAGAUUCACCCUGAUUGAGAUGGGCCACGCUUUAACGCAUCAAAAGUCCUACAUACAAUGGAUUUAUACCUGCAGGAAUGGAUUAAAUUUAAGAACAUGUUUUUCUGGGUUCAAACAGCUUCAAACUACCACAGGGAGGAAGCCACAGAAAAAAGAAAUGUUCCAUGGUCCAUUCAUCAUUCUGCACAAUUAGACAAAUGAAAAGGCAUCUUUGUUUCAACUUGAUUUGCAAAUCAUUUUGUGCAUGGCAACAAGAAAAAAAAAACAUGGUACCUUUGGGCAACGUCGGAUUGACCAGGAAAUUCCUCCUGCUAUGAUGUGUGGGUGGGGAAAACGUGGGUGACGUGAUCCAGAUGCACGGGCUGCCCCUUGCCAGUAAUGCAGAUGUGUUUUAUAUGCACUUGUCCAGAUGGUGACCCUUCUGGCAUCGUUAAUGAGUUCCAGAUGCCAAGCUUCCUCCUUUGCAUGCCUGUGCCUCAAUUUCACAUAUUUCAUGUGUUUAUUUAUGAGGCACAACAUUCCUGCAUUUCAUAGGUAGCAGUUGCUAUUAAAAAUGAGAAGUUUUAACUGCUCUGGAAAUUGAUAAAGAAUCUUUUAAAUUGCUAUGAAAUAUGGCCUUCCUUUCAAAAUGACUUCUUGUACAAAUUAUUGAAUUUAUAAUGCAAAUGUCUGCCCUUUCCCCUUGCCUGUUGAGAAAAUACGGCGCUGGGUUUACACUUGAAGGAUAACUAAUAAAUUUAAUAUUUGCAUACAUAAUAUAUUAUAAUGGGU
rnacentral:lncRNA from 1 species